rnacentral:rRNA from 1 species
AGGGUUUGAUCCUGGCUCAGGAUGAACGCUAGCGGCAGGCUUAACACAUGCAAGUCGAGGGGUAGAGGCUUUCGGGCCUUGAGACCGGCGCACGGGUGCGUAACGCGUAUGCAAUCUGCCUUGUACAAAGGGAUAGCCCAGAGAAAUUUGGAUUAAUACCUUAUAGUAUACUGAUGUGGCAUCACAUUAAUAUUAAAGAUUUAUCGGUACAAGAUGAGCAUGCGUCCCAUUAGCUAGUUGGUAUGGUAACGGCAUACCAAGGCAAUGAUGGGUAGGGGUCCUGAGAGGGAGAUCCCCCACACUGGUACUGAGACACGGACCAGACUCCUACGGGAGGCAGCAGUGAGGAAUAUUGGACAAUGGGCGCAAGCCUGAUCCAGCCAUGCCGCGUGCAGGAUGAAGCAUCUAUGGUGUGUAAACUGCUUUUAUACGGGAAGAAACCCUGGCUCGUGAGCCAGAUUGACGGUACCGUAGGAAUAAGGAUCGGCUAACUCCGUGCCAGCAGCCGCGGUAAUACGGAGGAUCCAAGCGUUAUCCGGAAUCAUUGGGUUUAAAGGGUCCGUAGGCGGUUUUAUAAGUCAGUGGUGAAAUCCGGUAGCUCAACUAUCGAACGGCCAUUGAUACUGUAGAACUUGAAUUAUUGUGAAGUAACUAGAAUAUGUAGUGUAGCGGUGAAAUGCUUAGAUAUUACAUGGAAUACCAAUUGCGAAGGCAGGUUACUAACAAUACAUUGACGCUGAUGGACGAAAGCGUGGGGGAGCGAACAGGAUUAGAUACCCUGGUAGUCCACGCCGUAAACGAUGGAUACUAGCUGUUUGGUAGCAAUACUGAGUGGCUAAGCGAAAGUGAUAAGUAU